GACGCACGCUGGCGGCGUGCCUAAUACAUGCAAGUAGGACGCAGUUGCGAACGGGUGAGUAACGCGUAGGUCACUGCCUAUUAGAGGGGGAUAACUAUUGGAAACGAUAGCUAAUACCGCAUACUAGUAGCUGGACCUGCGUUGUAUUAGCUAGUAGGUAGGGUAAUGGCCUACCUAGGCGCCGAUACAUAGCCGACCUGAGAGGGUGAUCGGCCACACUGGGACUGAGAAACGGCCCAGACCCCUACGGGAGGCAGCAGUAGGGAAUCUUCGGCAAUGGGGGGAAACCUGACCGGGCAACGCCGCGUGAGUGAAGAAGGUUUGCGGAUCGUAAAGCGCUGUUGUUAAGGAAGCGGUACUUAACCAGAAAGGGACGGCUAACUCCGUGCCAGCAGCCGCGGUAAUAC
rnacentral:rRNA from 1 species